CUUGGUCAUUUAGAGGAAGUAAAAGUCGUAACAAGGUUUCCGUAGGUGAACCUGCGGAAGGAUCAUUACAGAGAAAGUGCCCUUUGGGGUAUAUUUCCUAUCCUUUGUUUACAAUACUGUUGUUGCUUUGGCAGGCCUGUCCUUGGACUGCUAGCUACUGCUGGUUAGUGCCUGCCAGAGGACCAUAAAAUUCUAUAAUUUGUUGUCUGAGCAACUUUUAAUAAUUAAAACUUUCAACAACGGAUCUCUUGGUUCUGGCAUCGAUGAAGAACGCAGCGAAAUGCGAUAAGUAAUGUGAAUUGCAGAAUUCAGUGAAUCAUCGAAUCUUUGAACGCACAUUGCACCUUCUGGUAUUCUGGGAGGUAUGCCUGUUCGAGCGUCAUUAUAACCAUCAAGCUCAAGCUUGGUAUUGGAUGCCACGUUUAUGGUGCAUCUCAAAAUUAGUAGCAGUGCUAUUCAGCUUCAAGCGUAAUAAUUUUCUCGCUUCUGGAGCAUGUUUGGUACUUGCUGUGAACCCCUAAUUUAUUAAGGCUUGACCUCGGAUCAGGUAGGGAUACCCGCUGAACUUAAGCAUAUCAAUAAGCGGAGG
rnacentral:rRNA from 1 species